UAAAGUCAUCUAACGAGGGUGAGGAUUCUGGCAAUGACUGGAUUCGAGACUCACUAAGCUCCCAGGCUUCCGAGCGCCUGUGGUUGCUCCUCGUGUCACUCGUUGGAUGGCGCGUGGGAUGGUCCUACACGGCAGGGUUAAGACGGUUACCCACGCGCGAGCGCCGCUCUGACCUUCUUCCCCCAUCGCCAACCCUAGCCACGACUCGAUUCGCCCGUGGGGGCGAUCCUCGAACCCGCCCGCCAUGGGCGUGACCUCCUCCUCCGAUCUUUAUAAUCCCACCCCGAUCUAGGUACCCCAGGCUCUCCUCUCUCUCCAUCUGGUCGGCGUUGGGUUUCUUCUGUUGAUUUUGUAUGGGAAUUUGAUGCGGGAAGGGGUUGACUGAGGUGACACCGAUGUGUUUCGGUGUUCACCGUUCAUGGCGAACUUCUCCGGCCUAUGUGAUGAGAAACCUGGUCGACACGACCACAGCAUUCUAGAUCAUCGACAUUCAGCAGUAUAUGAUGGAGUCCAUCCCAAUUAUUUUGCAGCCAUCUGGCCCAAUCCAUGGCAUGCACAACUUCGCCCCAGGGGUUAUUUACUGGGGUUAAUAUGAGGUUUAUGUGAAUUCAACUUAGAUUGAAGUCAUGUUGUCGAGUACUGCAGACCAACAUCAAAAGAGAUACCUUGCUUGCUCAUCUCCAGUACAAUCAUCAACAAUAAUAUUAGAAUUCUGUUUGUUCGAAAUAAAUGCUUACCUGUUCUGUGGCCCAAUACAGAAUGUGCUGCAGAAUUUUUGUGUUACACUGUAGGUUACUUACUGGUGUUAGAUGGUCAUUGUGAACUACUCCAUCUAUGUUCUGUGCACCUCUCCUCUACUCCUCAUGCUGUAUCAAUCACCUAAGGAUAUCUAUAGUUGACCUUGAGUUUAUGAGUUGCAAAUUUGCAAUUACUGAAACUAAUAUAGCCUUGCCGGGGAAAUUCUGAUUGUAGGAGGAAUGAUAUUUCCAGUUUGAUGUUAGUUUUAGCCUUUUAGGAUGUUGGUUUGAACUAAGAAAAAAAUCCCUACCUAGCUUAUUUGUAGGCACUAGGGUAAUUAACUUGGAUCCCAAAGUAACCUUUUUAUUUCAUUGUCACACUUGAUUAACACUUAGUGCUGAUCUGGUCGGUGUUGGUUUUUAUUUAGUGUAUGGCACACUAAAGAAGGAUGCAUGUACUUCAUACCAGCACCAGGAGCUUGAUCAAAAGUUUCAGGGGCAGGGGCAACCACUUGAUCAGAUAAAAAAUCACCAAAGAUGCAAUUAGAAUAAAGCAUACAGAAAUAAGGUUAAUAAGUAAUAACCAAUAAAAGAAAAUAUAUGUAUGGCUAUCCUGAAGUCUAGAAAGGCCUACCGAUCUAAUGAAAGUACACAAAGGAAACGAAUUGCACAAUCUUGAAGAAACUACUAAUUCUUCAUACAUGAAUACUUGGCCAAUUUCACCACUUCCACUUAUUUUGAAUUUUCAGUAACAUGUAUAAUAUAAUUUGGAUUUGAUGCCGAUCUAGGGGCAUUGGGGAGUGAUGUACAUGAUAUAUCCACUCCAGAAGGAUCAGCUGAACUAUCAAGCUGCAAUUCUGGUUCAACCUUUAUAUGAGCAGAAUUAGAUUCAACACUUGGUAUAGUGAGCACAAUACUCCAACCUGUCUGUGUUUUGAAAUCAUCAGCAUGGACCAUUUGUUUCCAAUUCUACUCCCUCCGUUCGAUAUUACUUGUUGCUGAUUUAGUACAACUUUGUACUAAAUCAGUGACAACGAAUAUGGAACAGAGGGAGUAUUAUUAUAUUUUUAAGCACUACGGCUAACUGUAGUGUUUUUUCAUUCACCACUAAAUUAUACAACUGUUGUUUGGGCUAGAGAUAAAUGUACUGAGUUAGCUAGACUAAGUGAAUCUAAUUCCAUUAUUCUGGUAUGUUAGAGUUCCAUGUGAAGAAACGGUAAAGCAAUUUCAUGAAAUUUAGGUUCCAACUUCUCCCUCCUAUGCUGCUUUUGCUAUAAUUAAUGCCCAGGGAAAUUUCAAUAGAUUUUGCUCUGCUUUUGCACUUGGUAUAGUGAGCACAAUACUCCAACCUAUCUAUGUUUUAAACUGAGUUUAAAUAGAUUUUGCUUUGGAUGCCGGUAUCAUUUUCAAGAAAAGAUAAGAUUGUGAUAACAAUCUUGAAUAUAGCAAAAAUGGACCUCAAGGAACAAUUUCACUUGAUGACAAGAUUGAAUACUAAUACUAUGAAUGAUCAAAAUAAUGCUGGAUAAUGUGUCAUGUCUUCUCUGUAAUGGACUAAUGUAUUGACCUGAUCUUGUCUUGAGUAAGUUUCAUGUUUUACAAUGCAAGAGUAAGCCCUUGAAUAUGUUCAGUUUUGUGCAUUUCCUAUUUUAUAGGAGAGCCUACUCAGGAAUAAAUAUGUAUUUUUACAUUUGGUUUCAGAAAAUCUUCCAUGCAUUCUAUAUACUCCCUCGAUUCCUAAAUAUAAGCCAUAUAAUUUUUCGAAAAAAAUUCCAGGAUAUAGGCUUUAGUGUGACACACCACUUGUAUGGAAUUUUUUUUAGGGAUUUGAUUAUAUUUUCUUAUCUUAUGCAACGUCCUCUAUUUUCUCAUGUCAAAUGUAUAGGGGUAAUCCCACCUAAACAUGGUGUAAUUUUCUCUCAAUAUGCGUUCUUUUAUUUCCGUGCCAAAACUAUAUGGCUUAUAUUUAGGAACGGAGGGAGUACUUCAGAAAUGGUAGCAACCUUUUCCGGUGUUUACAUUUCUCGGCCCUACCCUCUUCCAGCUAAAUUGUUCAGUGGCAUAUACCUCUAUUGAAAUGUUAGAAUAACAGUACAUUAGCUAAUCAUAAACGUUCAUGUGAAUGCAUAUUUAUAGUAUGUUCCAUUAUUUGCAUUCUGUCCAUUCCUAGAUUAAAGAAUCUCAUUUUGGUUUCAGACUUUUACCCUUGAGAUGUAUUUUCUUUGCUCCAACUUGUUUUGAUAAUAGCAAAGUACUAUAGAAGGUAUUACAGAUUUUUGUCGGUAAAGUUCACUGAAACAAAGGUACCUUCCAUUUAGUGUAGGAAAUAUUUAGUUAUUGAAGCCAUUCAUCUGCAUAUUAUACCCUAUAUAAAGGCUGGCUGGUUUAAAACGCUCUAAUUGAUUCACGCACUGUUCAUGGCUUAUUUAUCCACCCCUUCCUCCAGCCAUUGUCUGACACGUAACUGUUAUCUUUUUCCUACCCCAUCGUUUGCUGGCCUUCCUCAACUCCUUCCUAUUUACACGUCACUUUUUUUGGCAGAUGGGCAACCGGCUACCGGUUGCUGUCCUUCCUCCACUCCUUCCUAUUAUUGUGGAUCACUUCCUUCUGGUUCCUUCGGUCAAGACGGCGGCAGUCAAAGCGGCGCCCAUCCCCAACCUCUCUCUUCUCUCAUCUUCUGUCUAUUCAUUGCCGCCUGCCUUCUUGGGACGAUGCCCCCUAUCCCUCUCCGUCCGCAAUUCCGCCUAUGGAGGAAGAUCUUGGUGUUCUCCUCCCCUUCCAGAGGUGGUACAGGGCCUUGGCCCCCUCUUCUCCUUCCCUAGGCAGUGCGCUUAUGGGAGGAGCCGCCGCGGCCACUCAUCCCCUGUGGUCAGUCUUCUGUCUCAGGUGGAGGGGAUGAUGAUGUGUGUGUGGUCGCCUGCGGAGUAGCUAGAUUGGUUCCUGGCUUCUCCAUCGCGCCUCGAAUUCGUGCUUGGUGGCGCCGCCAGGGAACUCACUCCCAUGGAGGGCGAUGUGUGGAGGUAUCGGUAUCCCACACACGCCACAGGCAACACCUUUGUGCGCCACUACACGGCCUCCAUACUGUGUUGAUCAUCUUCUCAGUCAGCAACGAUCCAAUAAGCUUCCUGUUUCUCGAGUCUUCCCAUCCCCUGUAAAAAAAUAAGCAGUGCCUUGUGGUGUUGAUCAUCUCAUGGACAAAGAGGAGCUUGCUUCCAGGAUCUGUCAACACACUGAAGCCACCUCCUCACCGGUGACAACGCCAUGCUUUUAAAAGACCAGGUGUAUUUCCCUUGCAUGGUGAUAUACACCGGAGAAGAGGAAACGUGACCCACAAGUAUAAAUCCUUGGGAGCAGCUAAAAGAUGGUUCGGUCUAAACUUCAGAAAGUUUCAUUGAUGCUGAUGCAUGGAAAAGGUUUUCCCAUGGAUCAAUUUAGGGAGCAGCUGAAAGUUCUUAUUAUUCAGGAGUGCUAUCAUUCAAGAGUACAUCCUUCACAUGUUGGUAUGUCAAUAUACCUGUUUCAGAAAUAUCUGAUAUGAAAGACAGCCUCCAAGAUCACCCACAUGAGCUAGAUAGGCAGGGGCGAAAACAAAGACCUGAACCAAUAGAGACAACACUAUAUGCUCUAGCUAAAGAACCAAUAGAAACUAUUUUGUUACAAGCUGGAAAUUGUCGUGACAGAAGUAAACAAUGUUCAAGACUGCGCGCUCAUGUCCUGUAAAGAUUGCUGAAAGAAGACAUCCUAACGGAAAUGUCUACAAAUUCCCCAAGUGGCCAUACAUAUCACAUAGAAGGAAAGCACAGGUACAAACUAUCCGCUAACUGAAAGGAUGUCAAUCCCAACGAGGUGACUAAAGAAAUAAUAGGUCAAUUCAUAUUUUUGGGCGCCAAUGGCACUACACUCAGAGGCCAGAAAGCUGUCCUAGGUGUUGCAACUAUCAGAGGAAGGACCGAUUAUAUGCUACCAGAUGCCAACAAUAUAACCUUUCAUGUUUCAAGGUCCGAAUUGAUUAACAAUGCCAGUCGAGCGACAACAUCCACAACUAACUCCAAAAGUUCAGAAAAUACAGACAAAUUCAUAGUACUCAAUUCCUCUGAAGGUAUAGUUGAUCCACAGGAGAGUAGCAGAAACUCAGACACUGCACCUACCACAGAUGUCAUGCAGCCAACACUUUCAGACCCAGAGAAGGUAAAUAAAAUAAACCAGGUAAUAUCUUCCUUGAUUUAUCUAUUGAAAGCUUAACUUAUAUAUUACUUCCAGAUAGAACUUAGCCAUCAUCAUACAUUUUUUUUGUUCAAGGAUACAAACUCUACAACAGGAGGAAAGGGAAGGAAGAAUGAAACCGCACCUGCAACAUCAACCAAGAAAAGGAUUAUUGGACUUGAUUUCUCAAUCGAGCGGCUCGCAGAGAAGGGUCGGCGCCUUGCUACGCUAAGUGUUGAAAAUACCUCUGUGGCGUGUCUUGCAUAUCUCAUUCCGUAUAAGGCCAUGGACGGGAUGUUAGGUGCAGGAUGAAAGUACAUGCCAUUGCAACCAAUCAGAAUUGGUGGUUUCGAGAGUGCAAUCGGUGCAGUUGUGUAGCAGUUUAAGAUGGAGAUGCAUUUCGCUGCUUAGGCAAAGCAAGUACGUGCCGGAGCGCCAACCCCGGAUACAAGCUUCGCGUGAAGGCCGAGGAUGGUGAAGCAGUCAUCAACAUGGUCUUCUUUGGAGAUGUCGCCACCGAUCUGUGUGUCUUCUCAGUUUUGCCUUUGCUAUUUCAAGAUACAAGCUUCGCGUCAAGGCUGAGGAUGGUGAAGCAGUCAUCAACAUGGUUUUCUUUGGAGAUGUCGCCACCGAUCUGAUUGGCAAGCCCCCUGAUGAGCUCAUCAAUGAGUUUCUGGCGAGCAACGAGGUGUUGCCUUCUGAUAUCUCAAGGCUGGUUGGAAGGAGAGUUAUGUUGUAAACUUGGUGGUAUCUCGCCUUUCUAUUUGUCGGGACACCAACAUUAGCGGUGCUCCAUAGUAAGGAGUUUGGAUUCGACCGCCUCAUUCAUAGGAUACCUGCUAAAGAUCAAAACCGUCCACACAUGUUUACAUGAGCAGUAGCCAUGGAAUGUACUCAUGUGUAAUAAAAUCAAUGUUUAUGCGUUGCUUAACCUCAAUAAGUUUGAAA